ACAAACUUAGCAAAUCUCCAAGUCCUCAAAUUGAGCUAUUUAAAUGUGGUAAGUAUAUUAUUUCUCUCAUCUGAAGGCUGAGGCAUUGUGUACAUUACCAUUCCCAGCACCUCUAUCUGCUGAGCCAUCUCUCUGGACUCAGCCUGUUACUUGUAAGGCAGAAUUCUCCUCACCCUGAGGUUCAUGUUUGUUUCCACGAGUCUGGAAGCCGCGGAGCCACAGCAACCCUCCUGCAUGUCCAUCUUCUCAGGAUGUCAUCUGGACUUAAAUGAUUCUCACUUGCAUUAACGCAGUAACUAAUUUGAUUAAAUUGUAUGCAUUAAAAAUCACCAAGGAUCCUCUCCUGAUCACUACACGGCUUUUAGACUGGGGAGGGGAGGCUGGGAUUAGCAGAAGGAGACGGAGAACAAGAGGCUCAAAUGAGCAAAGACCAAACAGACAUUCCAGGUGCAACGCACAGGUCCACACAGGGGUUUUCAUGGGAAAACGAUGCUUACAGACCCGUCGGGCAAGUCUGAAAACCAUCAUCAUACGCAAGAUCUGCUCCAGUGGAAAGCAAAUUUUCACAACCUUGUAAAUGGCCCCAAGCGCCAGUGUGGCGAUAAACAUCAACUCAAAAAGCAACACAGAGCAAAAAACCGACUGAAGGAGUAUGAUUCUAUUAAUAGCACCAAUUAGAGAGUUUUACAUGAGAUAGGACAGGAUACUGGGUUAUUUGUUAAUUAAAUAUAUCAAUCUUUUGGUUUGAAAACUACUAAGAAUAGCCUAGAAUAACCCCUUCCAGUUCACUGACUUUCUGAAAGUCAUUGGGGGUGGUGAUAAUUUUGGACAAAUAAAACCUUCAUUGAUCCUAAAAAAUUGGACA
rnacentral:lncRNA from 1 species